GCGCGCAGCGGCAGGCGGCGGCGGGAUGGAGCCCGAGCCCGAGCCCGCGGCCGUGGAGGUUCCCGCGGGGCGCGUGCUCAGCGCCCAGGAGCUCUUCGCCGCCCGCUCGCGGUCGCAGAAGCUGCCCCAGCGCUCGCAUGGCCCCAAGGACUUUCUGCCCGACGGCUCGGCAGCUCAGGCCGAGCGGCUGCGCCGGUGCCGGGAAGAGCUCUGGCAGCUGCUGGCAGAGCAGCGCGUGGAGCGCCUGGGCAGCUUGGUGGCUGCCGAGUGGAGGCCAGAAGAGGGCUUCGUGGAGUUGAAGUCUCCUGCGGUGAGCGGCGGGCUCGGGGACCGGGGACCGCCCUCCCUGCCCUCCUUCCCUUGUGACACUUGCUCUGGGCCCCACACAGGGCAAAUUCUGGCAGACCAUGGGCUUCUCAGAGCAGGGCCGGCAGCGGCUUCACCCGGAAGAGGCCUUGUAUCUUCUGGAGUGUGGCUCCAUCCACCUCUUCCACCAAGACCUGCCACUGUCUAUCCAGGAAGCUUACCAGCUGCUGUUGACCGACCACACUGUGACCUUCCUGCAGUACCAGCCACCUGAAGAGGUUGGGUUAUGUGGUUCGACGAUUCCAACCAAGCUCUGUCCUGUCCCCGUAUGAGAGGCAGCU
rnacentral:sRNA from 1 species